CUGUAGGACUUGAUUUUCCUACCUCUAGGCUUGGAGCCUCUGUUCCACAUUUAUUCUCACCCAGGUGACGGGUCACAUGGUGGCAGCCUCAGGCUAAACCUGGGAGAGUGGUGGCCCAUGAGGACAACAGCCACCUCCUAGAACCUUAUCCUCUGCAAAUCUUCCCCUCCAGGUUACUGACAUUCAAAGCCUUUGCUCAGAUCUUCAUCUUGGGGUGUUCCUGGGUGUUGGGCAUUUUCCAGAUUGGACCCAUGGCCAAUAUCAUGGCUUACUUGUUCACCAUCAUCAACAGCCUGCAAGGAGCCUUCAUCUUCCUCAUUCAUUGUCUGCUCAACCGCCAGGUACGGGAAGAAUACAGAAGAUGCAUGACCAGGAAGACCAAACCCAGCUCCCAGUCCGACACCUCAAGGAUCGCACUGUCAUCCGUUCCCUCCACUUCCAAAACGGAUUAAAGUCCUUUCUUGCUUUCAAAUACACUAUGAAACAACAUUUCAGGAAAGCAGGUGCCUGCAGGAGCCUUCGCUGAAAUCUUUUCUUCUCGGCUUAAUAUGGAAAUGCAGGAUCUUGCCAGCCCCAGAACUCUCUGGGAAAUUCGGAUCAUGGAUGGAUAUGUGGGAUGGUCUUCCCAUGGCUUCACGCCCUGCUGAGAAACAAGAGUUCCUGUUCCAGCUUACCAUUUUAUCUUCUGUGUUCUGCAACUCUUUGACUUUCCAGAGUUUUGCGGAGAUAACAGAUCGCAGUGCAAUGGCGGGACCAAGAACUUCUGGCUACCAUUUUGUUUUGUCCUAAGUCCAUUGAUGUGUGGUUUCAAGAGUGCCUCUCCAGCAUCUAUCACAUGCUUGACACAGAGAGUAGCCCUCAAUAAAUGAUGUGUCUUCUGACUGACUGCCUUACCUUUCAACAAAGAACCCUCCUGCUUUUAUAGAAAUGGUCAGUAAAAUUGUAAGGAGAGCCUCAGGGGAUAAAUAAAGCACACACACUUAUAGGCAGAAACACUUAAAAGAGUUAUGUUGGUAAGUAGGAGCAGUCAAAGGGAAUUAAGAGGUACAAACUUCUAGGUAUAAAAUAAAUAAGUGACAAAAAUGUAAGGUUCAGCAGAGUGAAUAUAGUCAAUAUUUUAUGAUAACUUUAUAUGGAGUAUAAUCUAUAAAAAUAUCAAAUUACCAUGCUGUACACCUGAAAGUAACAUAAUACUGUAAGUCAACUAUACUUCAAUUGAAAAAAAGAGAAGGAAGUGAAAAUUCAACAUGUAGAUCUCCCCUCUGUGGCCACUUUAAUAGCUCCCUAAUCAAAGUGUAGUCUGUGGACCAGAAGAAUCAGCCUCACCUUGUUAGAAAAGUAGGACAUCAGGUGCCACCCCAGAUCUGCUGAACCAGAGCCUGCAUUUUUUUUUUACUUUUUAUUUUGUUUUAUUUAUGUACUUUUUGGCUGCGUUGGGUCUUCAUUGCUGUGCACGGCCUUUCUCUUGUUGCGGUGAGUGGGGGCUACUUUUCGUUGUGGU
rnacentral:lncRNA from 1 species